CGUCAUGAAUUGAUUUCCUGCAGUAAUCAUCAUCAACCAAUGGCGGCAUCGGCAUAUUCCUUAUUCCUUAACCAACUCCAAAGGAAAAUAAUAUUACGCCGCCUUUUUCAACCUGCGGAGAUAGAAGUAAACAUAUUUUUCUCCGAACAUGGAAAUCAUGAUUUUCGAUUUUAAUCAUCGGAGCAAAUCAGAAAUGGCAGCCGCAGCAGAGGAAGAAGAAACAUAGCCUGGAAACAAGAACCACAGCUUCCAAAACCGAAACAAUCCUGAAUAGCAAACUGUCCACUAUCCAAUGGUACAAGUUGAACUUCUUCUUCCACCGGAACCCGUCGGAGCGAGAGCUCUUCCGCCUCCACCGCCACGCUCCGCCGCCUCCGCCACCACCACCAUCGCCACUACUUUUCUUGUUACUCAGCCUCUUGAAUAGAAACGAAAACGCUGACGACUGCUUCUUCUCCAUGAGUUACUCUCUCUCUUCUCUCUCUCUUUCUCUCUCUAGAUUUCUCUCUCUAAACUUUUGAUGGAUUCUUGU
rnacentral:lncRNA from 1 species